GACGAACGCUGGCGGCGCGCUUAACACAUGCAAGUCGAACGGAAAGGCCUGCUUUCCCUUGUGGAUUGCGGGUACUCGAGUGGCGAACGGGUGAGUAACACGUGAGUGAUCUGCCCCCAACUUGGGUAUAAGCCUGGGAAACUGGGUCUAAUUCCCGAUAGGACUGCAGGGUGGUGCCUGUGGUGGAAAACGAUUUUCUAGUGGUUGGGGAUGAGCUCGCGGCCUAUCAGCUUGUUGGUGGGGUAAUGGCCUACCAAGGCGGCGACGGGUAGCCGGCCUGAGAGGGUGGACGGCCACAUUGGGACUGAGAUACGGCCCAGACUCCUGCGGGAGGCAGCAGUGGGGAAUAUUGCACAAUGGGCGGAAGCCUGAUGCAGCGACGCCGCGUGGGGGAUGUCGGCCUUCGGGUUGUAAACUCCUUUCGACCGCGAGGAAGCCACCUGGUUGGAAGGGUGGUGACGGUAGUGGUAGAAGAAGCACCGGCUAACUACGUG
rnacentral:rRNA from 1 species